rnacentral:lncRNA from 1 species
UUGGGCCAAAAGAGGCAUACAUCAUAGAUCCAAAAGGAGCUUAAAUGACAAGUAACAAGUCAUACAAAAAAGGUUUAAGCUCAAAAGUAUGCAACUACAGAUGUAGCCUAGUCUAAGGUGGGAUCAAGAGGGGCUGAGGAGGAUGGAUCCACAAACACGGAAGAACGCUGCCCGAUAAAAGCUCGCUCCAUAGCAUUUUCCA